CCUACGGGUGGCAGCAGUGAGGAAUAUUGGUCAAUGGACGAAAGCCUGAACCAGCCAAGUCGCGUGAAGGAUGACUGCCCUAUGGGUUGUAAACCUCUUUUAUAUGGGAAUAAAAUGGUCUACGUGUGGGAUAAUGUCCGUACCAUAUGAAUAAGGAUCGGCUAACUCCGUGCCAGCAGCCGCGGUAAUACGGAGGAUCCGAGCGUUAUCCGGAUUUAUUGGGGUUAAAGGGUGCGUAGGGGGAUUUUUAAGUCAGUUGUGAAAGGUUGCGGCUCAACCGUAAAAUUGCAGUUGAAACUGGCAGUCUAGAGUACAGGAGAGGUAGGCGGAAUUCGUGGUGUAGCGGUGAAAUGCUUAGAUAUCACGAAGAACUCCGAUUGCGAAGGCAGUUCACUGGACUGCAACUGACGCUGAGGCUCGAAAGCGUGGGUAGCAAACAGGAUUAGAUACCCUAGUAGUC
rnacentral:rRNA from 1 species